UACGAAGGGUGCAAACGUUAUUCGGAAUUAUUGGGCGUAAAGGGUGCGUAGGCGGCUUGUUAAGUCAACUGUUUAAUUCCUCGGCCUAACCGAGGGUCAGCAGUAGAUACUGAUGAACUAGAGGAUGGAAGAGAGAAGUGGAAUUCUUGGAGUAGCGGUAAAAUGUGUAGAUCUCAAGAGGAACACCGAUGGCGAAGGCAGCUUCUUGGUCCAUUUCUGACGCUGAUGCACGAAAGCGUGGGGAGCAAACAGG
rnacentral:rRNA from 1 species